GCUUACUAACUGUGCCCUUACUAACUUAGCCUCCUUUUUUUCUUUUUGAGACAGGGUCUCACUGCGUUGCCCAGGCUGGAGUGAAGUGGGGUGAUCUCAGCUCACUG